UACGAAGGGGGCUAGCGUUGCUCGGAAUACUGGGCGUAAAGCGCACGUAGGCGGAUUGUUAAGUCGGGGGUGAAAUCCUGGAGCUCAACUCCAGAACUGCCUUCGAUACUGGCGAUCUCGAGUUCGGGAGAGGUGAGUGGAACUCCGAGUGUAGAGGUGAAAUUCGUAGAUAUUCGGAAGAACACCAGUGGCGAAGGCGGCUCACUGGCCCGGUACUGAC
rnacentral:rRNA from 1 species